ACGGUCCUAAGGUAGCGAAAUUCCUUGUCGGGUAAGUUCCGACCCGCACGAAAGGUGUAACGAUUUGGGCACUGUCUCAACGAGGGACCCGGUGAAAUUGAAGUACCUGUGAAGAUGCAGGUUACCCGCGACUGGACAGAAAGACCCCAUGGAGCUUUACUGUAACCUGACAUUGUGUUCUGAUACAUCACGUACAGGAUAGGUGGGAGACUUGGAAGCUGGGACGCUAGUCACAGUGGAGUCAACGUUGGGAUACCACCCUUGAUGUAUCGGAAUUCUAACCGUAGGAGUAACGAAACUCGGGACAGUGUCAGGCGGGCAGUUUGACUGGGGCGGUCGCCUCCCAAAGAGUAACGGAGGCGCCCAAAGGUUCCCUCAGCGCGGCCGGAAAUCGCGCGAAGAGUGUAAAGGCAGAAGGGAGCUUGACUGAGAGCCAAACACGGCAAUCAGGUACGAAAGUAGGGCUUAGUGAUCCGGUGGCAUCCAAGUGGAAGGGCCAUCGCUCAACGGAUAAAAGCUACCCUGGGGAUAACAGGCUAAUCUCUCCCAAGAGUCCAUAUCGACGGGGAGGUUUGGCACCUCGAUGUCGGCUCAUCACAUCCUGGGGCUGAAGUCGGUCCCAAGGGUUGGGCUGUUCGCCCAUUAAAGUGGUACGUGAGCUGGGUUCAGAACGUCGUGAGACAGUUCGGUCCCUAUCCAUCGCGGGCGCAAGAGAUUUGAAGGGGGCUGCUCCUAGUACGAGAGGACCGGAGUGGACGAACCAAUGGUGUACCAAUUGUCUCGCCAGAGGCAUAGUUGGGUAGCUACGUUCGGAAAGGAUAAACGCUGAAAGCAUCUAAGCGUGAAACCAGCCUUAAGAUGAGAUCUCUCAUAGAGCAAUCUAGUAAGACACCUUGGAGAAGACGAGGUUGAUAGGUCGGGAGUGUAAGUACAGUAAUGUAUUCAGCGGACCGAUACUAAUAUGUCGAGGGCUUGACUUA
rnacentral:rRNA from 1 species